CCUGGUUGAUUCUGCCAGUAGUCAUAUGCUUGUCUCAAAGAUUAAGCCAUGCAUGUCUAAGUAUAAGCAAUUUAUACCGUGAAACUGCGAAUGGCUCAUUAAAUCAGUUAUCGUUUAUUUGAUAGUACCUUACUACUUGGAUAACCGUGGUAAUUCUAGAGCUAAUACAUGCUAAAAGCCCCGACUUCGGAAGGGGUGUAUUUAUUAGAUAAAAAACCAAUGCCCUCCGGGGCUCCUUGGUGAUUCAUAAUAACUUAACGAAUCGCAUGGCCUUGUGCCGGCGAUGGUUCAUUCAAAUUUCUGCCCUAUCAACUUUCGAUGGUAGUAUAUGGGACUACCAUGGUUUCAACGGGUAACGGGGAAUUAGGGUUCUAUUCCGGAGAGGGAGCCUGAGAAACGGCUACCACAUCCAAGGAAGGCAGCAGGCGCGCAAAUUACCCAAUCCCGACACGGGGAGGUAGUGACAAUAAAUACUGAUACAGGGCUCUUUUGGGUCUUGUAAUUGGAAUGAGUACAAUUUAAAUCCCUUAACGAGGAACAAUUGGAGGGCAAGUCUGGUGCCAGCAGCCGCGGUAAUUCCAGCUCCAAUAGCGUAUAUUAAAGUUGUUGCAGUUAAAAAGCUCGUAGUUGAACCUUGGGCCUGGCUGGCCGGUCCGCCUCACCGCGUGCACUGGUCCGGCCGGGUCUUUCCUCCUGGGGAGCCACAUGCCCUUCACUGGGUGUGUUGGGGAACCAGGACUUUUACUUUGAAAAAAUUAGAGUGUUCAAAGCAGGCCUAUGCUCGAAUACAUUAGCAUGGAAUAAUAGAAUAGGACGUGUGGUUCUAUUUUGUUGGUUUCUAGGACCGCCGUAAUGAUUAAUAGGGAUAGUCGGGGGCAUCAGUAUUCAAUUGUCAGAGGUGAAAUUCUUGGAUUUAUUGAAGACUAACUACUGCGAAAGCAUUUGCCAAGGAUGUUUUCAUUAAUCAGGAAAGGAAAGUUAGGGGAUCGAAGACGAUCAGAU
rnacentral:rRNA from 1 species